AUUGAACGCUGGCGGCAGGCCUAACACAUGCAAGUCGAGCGAGCGGCGGACGGGUGAGUAAUGUCUGGGACACUGCCUGAUGGCGGGGGAUAACUACUGGAAACGGUAGCUAAUACCGCAUACCAUCAGAUAUUCCCAGAUUGGAUUAGCUGGUACGUGGGGUAACGGCUCACCUAGGCGACGAUCACUAGCUGGUCUGAGAGGAUGACUAGCCAAACUGGAAAUGAGCAACGGUCCAGACUCCUACGGGAGGCAGCAGUGGGGAAGAUUGCAAAAUGGGCGAAAGCCUGAUGCAGCCAUGACGCGUGUGAGAAGAAGGCCUUCGGGUUGUAAAGCACUUGCAGCGGGGAGGCGUUACCCGAAGAAGAAGCACCGGCUAACUCCGUGCCAGCAGCCGCGGUAAUUC
rnacentral:rRNA from 1 species